AUUACGGAGUGCGGGCCCUCGCGGCCCAACCCCCUACCCUUGUCUCUUACACCUGUUGCUUUGGCGGGCCCACCGGGGCCACCUGGUCGCCGGGGGACGCACGUCCCCGGGCCCGCGCCCGCCGAAGCGCUCUGUGAACCCUGAUGAAGAUGGGCUGUCUGAGUAUUAUGAAAAUUGUCAAAACUUUCAACAAUGGAUCUCUUGGUUCCGGCAUCGAUGAAGAACGCAGCGAAAUGCGAUAAGUAAUGUGAAUUGCAGAAUUCCGUGAAUCAUCGAAUCUUUGAACGCACAUUGCGCCCCCUGGCAUUCCGGGGGGCAUGCCUGUCCGAGCGUCAUUUCUGCCCUCAAGCACGGCUUGUGUGUUGGGUGUGGUCCCCCCGGGGACCUGCCCGAAAGGCAGCGGCGACGUCCGUCUGGUCCUCGAGCGUAUGGGGCUUUGUCACUCGCUCGGGAAGGACCUGCGGGGGUUGGUCACCACCAUAUUUUACCACGGUUGACCUCGGAUCAGGUAGGAGUUACCCGCUGAACUUAAGCAUAUCAUAAGCCGGAGG
rnacentral:rRNA from 1 species